GGAAACCACCCCACAAUGGCAGGAGACACCAUGAGAUGUUUUCUACUGUAGAAACUUUCUCAUUAGAAAUAGCCCAUUUAUACAGGGGACUGGCUAAUGUUUUUCUAUGAGUAUCAUUAGCCAGUGUCUCAAAGUGGUGAAGAGACUGCAACCUGGAACAAGGAGAGACAAAGGGAAGGAGGAGUCUGGAGCCAUAUUGAAGAUGAAAUUGAGAUAUGGACUAGGUGGUGGAUCGUUUUUAUAAGAGGACAUAAAAGAGGAUGCUAAAGCUAAUUGCCACAAUCAGAACUCAAAGACCUAGCAAAUGCAAGGUGGUAUUUAUUCUAAACUCAGCAAAGUAGUAGAAAAAUAGUUUUGAGAACAGUUUUAAGGAGACUAGGGUAACAGUGAGAAAAUAGUUCAUGGCUAGUCUGGACUUAGGACUUUAGGGUCGGCCUGGUGAAUUGAAGGGAAGCAGCUGAUACACUCUGGUUGCCUUGUACCCUGGCUUUUGGUGCUUUCCCAUGUGCUGUAGUCAUCAGUAAUCUGGAGGAAAUGCUAUAGAGGCAAAGACACCAUUAGAUGGGUGCUCAACUAGCAAACAGGAUGUGACCACAGAGUAGUUACCCCAAGACCAGGUCAGCAUGACCCAAAAGGCAGAAGAGGACAAGGUUUAUGAGUGUUGGGCUGAGCUCACGCCUGCUUGAACAUCUCAAGAACAAUGUUAAUGAUGGAAGAGAGAGAUAGGAGAGGAAACUCAUUAAACUUGCCAAAUAUGAGAUGUAGCUGGGUUGGCUCUAUGUAAGCAUGGCAGAAAAGCAUUUAGAAGUCAUAAUACAUUUAAAAUAAGAGCUACCAGCAUAGCAGUGACAUGAAGAAGGCAUGUGUUUUGUUAAAAAGUUUUAAAUACUCCUAUAAAAGAUAGUAAGGUACAAGUUGUUUGCUUGAUCAGCAAUGCUAAUUGCCUUUGAAGUGCAUGCCUGGGGAUUCCAUGGAGAGAGGACCCUGUUUCUCCACCCCAACCCAAAUUCACUGAGUUUAUGUCAGAAUGUUCAGAAGCCCCUUUACAAAUUCCUCUGAUUGCCUUGUUAGACACUGGCCACCUCCCUGAACCUGGGCCAAGAUGAGGGUCUACACCUUGGCUUAGUUCUACUAUGAAAGACUUUCCUGCAGUAAAAGUUACCUGUCUGAAACAUUCAGAAGAGUGAAAAUGCCACAUCUCCAAUUUCCAGCAAUAUAUUUGUCUGCCAUGAUUUGGCCUGGAAGCUUAAGCAGGAAGACCACUUGGAGCCAGACUUCAGAGUGAUCUGUCUCUAAGGAAUAACUUUCAUAUUGCAGCGUUCGGUUUUGCAAUUCUUCCUAAGCUACUCUAAAUUCGCAGCAUAAAUCUGCAGAAAGACUUCACCCUCCACAUCAAACCCUUAUAAGGAUCCAUUUCUGCUCUCAUUUUAGAAUAUCUUUUCUAAUAGCUAAAGGCAGACAGAGGCAAACCAAGAAAUCCAGACUUUGCAUCAACGGGUUAAAUCAUAUGUCAAAGGUGCAACCAUAACGUAUUACAAGCUUCUCAUCACAUAAUACAUCACUCAAGAAAAAAUAUUUGGGCAGCUUUUCUAAUUCAUCUUCCUGGUGUUAAAGGAGCACAUCUCCAGUGUUCGUGUCUUCUGUUUCAAUUAAAGCAAUCAUGCCUACUCUUUUAGGAAACUACUAAGGAUACAAUAAGAAGUCAGCAGUCUGCAACCCAGAAGAGGACCCUCACUGGAACCCAGGAAUGUUGGCACUCUGAACUUAGAUUUUCCAGCCUCUAGAAUGCCUUAUGCAAAUCCUGGAAGAUAUCAAUUCUGAGGGCUGGGGUGUAUCUUGAUCACCUUUGGAAUCUACCACUGCAUGGAGCACAGCACUUACCACCUAGUAGGUAAGCAACAAAUGCUUGCUUGUCAAUUGAUUUAUUCAGUAGACUCAGUGCUAUGUGUACAUUAAACACCUGGGGAGCUUUAAACAAUAAACGAGCAAACCAACAAAUGCUGCAUCAGCCUAGACCAACACAAUCCUGAUCUCUGGAUGUGGGAUCCCCGCACUGUUCUGUUUGUUUCCAAGUUUGGAAGAAACAUAAUUGAAUCAUUUUGAGGAAUUCCAAUCCCUGACAAGAUGCCAGUGCUAUUUUACAGCAAGAGUAGACGAGGAAGGCUAUACUACGUGGUCCUGGGCAAGUUAUUUAAAUUCUCUGUGCCUCAGUUUUCUGAACCGUAAGAUGGGAAGAAUAAUAGUAACUACCUCUGGAGGCUGUUGUAAAAGUUAAAUGAUCUGAUCUAUGUAAAGCACUUAGAACAGUACCUGGUAUAUAAGUGUGUGAUAAAUAAAAUCCAAUAUGAAGAAGAGGA
ensembl:lncRNA novel transcript